UACGGAGGGUGCAAGCGUUGUCCGGAAUCAUUGGGCGUAAAGAGCGUGUAGGCGGCCUGGUAAGUCCGCUGUGAAAGUCCAGGGCUCAACCCUGGAAUGCCGGUGGAAACUGUCAGGCUCGAGUCCGGAAGAGGCGAGUGGAAUUCCUGGUGUAGCGGUGAAAUGCGCAGAUAUCAGGAGGAACACCAAUGGCGAAGGCAGCUCGCUGGGACGGUACUGACGCUGAGACGCGAAAGCGUGGGGAGCAAACAGG
rnacentral:rRNA from 1 species